AGCAGCCGCGGUAAUUCCAGCUCCAAUAGCGUAUAUUAAAGUUGUUGCAGUUAAAAAGCUCGUAGUUGAAUUUCGGGAUCAAUACGUCGGUCGUGCUUCGGUACGUACUGGCGUCAUUGAUUUCUCCCUUCUGACGAACCAUGAUGUCAUUAACUUGGUGUCAUGGGAAAUCAGGACUGUUACUUUGAAAAAGUUAGAGUGUUUAAAGCAGGCUCACGCUUGAAUACAUUAGCAUGGAAUAAUGAAAUAGGACGUUCGAUCCUAUUUUGUUGGUUUUUAGGAUCAACGUAAUGAUUAAUAGGGAUAGUUGGGGGCAUUAGUAUUCAAUUGUCAGAGGUGAAAUUCUUGGAUUUAUUGAAGACUAACUACUGCGAAAGCAUUUGCCAAGGAUGUUUUCAUUAAUCAAGAACGAAAGUUAGGGGAUCGAAGACGAUCAGAUACCGUCGUAGUCUUAACCAUAAACUAUGCCGACUAGGGAUCGGAUGAUGUUAAUUUUUAAUGUACU
rnacentral:rRNA from 1 species